GUGCUCGCUUUGGCAGAAUAUAUACUAAAAUUGGAAUGAUACAGAGAAGAUUAGCAUGGCCCCUGCACAAGAUGACAGGCAAAAUCAUGAAGCAUUGCGUAUUUUU